rnacentral:tRNA from 2 species
GCCGAAGUGGCGAAAUGGCAGACGCGCCAGCUUGAGGGGCUGGUAUCCGCAAGGAUGUGCAGGUUCAAGUCCUGUCUUCGGCA